UAUAAGCAAUUGUACAGCGAAACUGCGAAUGGCUCAUUAUAUCAGUUAUAGUUUAUUUGAUAGUUCCUUACUAGUUGGAUAACCGUAGUAAUUCUAGAGCUAAUACAUGCGCGAAGUCCCGACUGCUUUCGUGGUGGAAGGGAUGUAUUUAUUAGAUAUAACCAGCCCGGCUUUUGUCGGUAUGUGGUGAAUCAUAGUAACUGAGCGAAUCGCAUGGUCUUGUGCCGGCGAUGGUUCAUUCAAGUUUCUGCCCUAUCAGCUUUCGAUGGUAGGGUAUUGGCCUACCAUGGCGUUAACGGGUAACGGAGAAUUAGGGUUCGAUUCCGGAGAGGGAGCCUGAGAAACGGCUACCACAUCCAAGGAAGGCAGCAGGCGCGUAAAUUACCCAAUCCUAGCACAGGGAGGUAGUGACAAUAAAUAACGAUACGGAACUCUAGUAGUUUUGUAAUUGGAAUGAGAACAAUUUAAAUCCCUUAUCGAGGAUCAAUUGGAGGGCAAGUCUGGUGCCAGCAGCCGCGGUAAUUCCAGCUCCAAUAGCGUAUAUUAAAGUUGUUGCAGUUAAAAAGCUCGUAGUUGAAUUUCUGGGUGGGCCGGCGGUCCGCUGUAUUUAUUGCAGUGUGUACUUGCGUGUGUCCGUUCAUAUUUGUGGAGUGCGUUGUGGUGGGCAUUAGUUUGUUUGCUGUGCGUGUUAAUCUCUGCAUCGAUUACUGUGAACAAAUUAGAGUGUUCAAAGCAGGCUUAUUAGCUUGAAUACAUUAGCAUGGAAUAAUGAUAUAGGACUUUGGUGCUAUUUCGUUGGUUGUGUACUGAGGUAAUGAUU
rnacentral:rRNA from 1 species